UACAGAGGGGGCAAGCGUUGUUCGGAAUUACUGGGCGUAAAGGGCGCGUAGGCGGCCUGUUAAGUCAGACGUGAAAUCCCUCGGCUCAACCGGGGAACUGCGUCUGAUACUGGCGGGCUUGAAUUCGGGAGAGGGAUGUGGAAUUCCAGGUGUAGCGGUGAAAUGCGUAGAUAUCUGGAGGAACACCGGUGGCGAAGGCGGCAUCCUGGACCGACAUUGACGCUGAGGCGCGAAAGCCAGGGGAGCGAACGGG
rnacentral:rRNA from 1 species